rnacentral:tRNA from 1 species
UCAAUUGGUAGAGCACCGGUCUCCAAAACCGGGUGUUGGGAGUUCGAGCCUCUCCGCCCCUGCCA